GAUUUAGCGUGUUGCUCGAAUUUACUGAAUCGGAACGUGACUCAGCUGCCCAGCAUACGCUCACUUGCUGCUGCUGCUGGGGAAUGUGAAUGCCGCACUCGCACAGCUUUGCCUGGAGAGGGGCUUCACUAUCCUGGAUAGUCUUGUGGAUAGCUGGCCUGGAUUCCUAAGCAGGGAUAUAGUCCACCCCAGCUGGCUCGGCAACAAGGUGCUGGCAGACUUUUUCCACAGGGAGGCCUGUGCCUUGUCCACCCAUCUAGAGAGGAGAUGCAUCCAACAGUCCUACAAGGAGUCCAAGGCAUCUGCAGGCCACUCACCGGGUUUGGCGAUUUUGAGCUGACAAGUGCAAUGCGUACAUCGGGAGUUUAAGGUCACGUCUGCCAAACAUUGCAACUCUAUGCACCGCGGAAAUGGGUCAAAUUUCAAGACGAACGCUUCUCCCCCUUUCUUUACAGGUCGCACCCCCAGAAAAGGAGGGUAUGAUGUGCACGUAUGAAUCGCCCUACAUACACAGCAGUGCAGUGACGUUGGUCCUCUGUGUAGACGACUGUGCUCUGACGCUGCCAACAGUGGCACGUGACAUGGCGGAAAUUAUUUAACGUGACAUGCGUAGUUAAUGUAAUUUGUUGCUUGAAGAGAUUAAUAAAACUUGGGAUACAUAUUAAAACGCAA
rnacentral:misc_RNA from 1 species